UCUACGGCCAUACCACCCUGAACGCGCCCGAUCUUGUCUAAUCUUGGAAGCUAAGCAGGGUUGGGCCUGGUUAGUACUUGGAUGGGAGAGUGCAGUAUUCCAAGCCCUGAAAGAA
ensembl:rRNA 5S_rRNA 5S ribosomal RNA